rnacentral:rRNA from 1 species
UGGUGGAGCGAUUUGUCUGGUUAAUUCCGAUAACGAACGAGACUCUGGCCUAUUAAAUAGUUCGCCGAUUCCGAUCUGUCGGCGUUAACUUCUUAGAGGGACAAGUGGCUUUUAGCCACGCGAGAUUGAGCAAUAAUA